UUGCACUGAAAUAGAAAUAAUCAGUCCGCGAGGAACUUCCCUUGGGUAACGCACAGCUGGAUUUCACCGCGGUUAUCGCUUUCUACAUUGUGGGUACACUCAACCGCGCCAGAAACCAUGAGCGCAACGAAUAAGGUGAGGGUAAAAUUCCGUACGCGAAAACAUAUACGGUGGAAAAAAGGGUCUACGAGAUUUUGCAAGAAUUGAAAAAAGACAGCUAGUCCGAGGACCUCUUUCCUGGCAUAAAUGCGACCAAAGUUAACAAACGUUUGGAUAAAAUAAUGCCGAAUCUUACUAUAAAGGUGUUCAGAACGUACAACGGAUCGCGAGAGAUGGAGGAUGAGCUCGAGAAGGCGACACCGGAUCUCGCCAAAGGAAAAUCCGUAUCCGCGGUGUAUACAGAAGCGUUGGAAAAAGUUAUAGCUGCAUAUUUGAACCAUCAACGAGCCGCUUCAAGCCCCGCAAAAAAGAAUUGGACCUUUUACCGGAAAAGAUGUCCACUCUAUCAGUGGACAAGCCUCCGCCAAGGAAGGAUACCGAUGGACUAAUGAAGGAAAUGCAGUGGAAUUCAUACAGCUCCGAGAUGUUCUACAUAGAUCACCGAGUCGUGAUUUUGUGGUGCAAGAAGAACGAUAUCCCAAUAGAAGAGAUCUACACUGGGAAAGGCCGCGAAUUCUUUAAAUGGGAAAUUGGCGAGCUCGAAAAGUUGCUCGAAAAAUAGCAGAAAGAGAAUAAACCAUUUAAGAAUUUUUAUUAUUAUUCGUAAUAUCUGAUUGUAAAUACGCGCCGAUGAAUUAAAGUAAUCAAGUCGCUGGUA
rnacentral:lncRNA from 1 species